rnacentral:rRNA from 1 species
GAUAUGUGAAUACAUAGCAUAUCAGAAGGCACACCCGGAGAACUGAAACAUCUUAGUACCCGGAGGAAGAGAAAGAAAAUUCGAUUCCCUUAGUAGCGGCGAGCGAAACGGGAAGAGCCCAAACCAACAAGCUUGCUUGUUGGGGUUGUAGGACACUCUAUACGGAGUUACAAAGGACGACAUUAGACGAAUCAUCUGGAAAGAUGAAUCAAAGAAGGUAAUAAUCCUGUAGUCGAAAAUGUUGUCUCUCUUGAGUGGAUCCUGAGUACGACGGAGCACGUGAAAUUCCGUCGGAAUCUGGGAGGACCAUCUCCUAAGGCUAAAUACUCUCUAGUGACCGAUAGUGAACCAGUACCGUGAGGGAAAGGUGAAAAGCACCCCGGAAGGGGAGUGAAAUAGAACCUGAAACCGUGUGCUUACAAGUAGUCAGAGCCCGUUAAUGGGUGAUGGCGUGCCUUUUGUAGAAUGAACCGGCGAGUUACGAUUUGAUGCAAGGUUAAGCAGUAAAUGUGGAGCCGUAGCGAAAGCGAGUCUGAAUAGGGCGUUUAGUAUUUGGUCGUAGACCCGAAACCAGGUGAUCUACCCUUGGUCAGGUUGAAGUUCAGGUAACACUGAAUGGAGGACCGAACCGACUUACGUUGAAAAGUGAGCGGAUGAACUGAGGGUAGCGGAGAAAUUCCAAUCGAACCUGGAGAUAGCUGGUUCUCUCCGAAAUAGCUUUAGGGCUAGCCUCAAGUGAUGAUUAUUGGAGGUAGAGCACUGUUUGGACGAGGGGCCCCUCUCGGGUUACCGAAUUCAGACAAACUCCGAAUGCCAAUUAAUUUAACUUGGGAGUCAGAACAUGGGUGAUAAGGUCCGUGUUCGAAAGGGAAACAGCCCAGACCACCAGCUAAGGUCCCAAAAUAUAUGUUAAGUGGAAAAGGAUGUGGCGUUGCCCAGACAACUAGGAUGUUGGCUUAGAAGCAGCCAUCAUUUAAAGAGUGCGUAAUAGCUCACUAGUCGAGUGACACUGCGCCGAAAAUGUACCGGGGCUAAACAUAUUACCGAAGCUGUGGAUUGUCCUUUGGACAAUGGUAGGAGAGCGUUCUAAGGGCGUUGAAGCAUGAUCGUAAGGACAUGUGGAGCGCUUAGAAGUGAGAAUGCCGGUGUGAGUAGCGAAAGACGGGUGAGAAUCCCGUCCACCGAUUGACUAAGGUUUCCAGAGGAAGGCUCGUCCGCUCUGGGUUAGUCGGGUCCUAAGCUGAGGCCGACAGGCGUAGGCGAUGGAUAACAGGUUGAUAUUCCUGUACCACCUAUAAUC